AUUCAUCUGACGAGUCCUAAAUAGAAUGAGAUGUGCAUCCAGGAU
rnacentral:hammerhead_ribozyme from 1 species